UACGGGGGGGGCAAGCGUUGUUCGGAAUUACUGGGCGUAAAGGGCUCGUAGGUGGCCAACUAAGUCAGACGUGAAAUCCCCAGGCUUAACCUGGGAACUGCGUCUGAUACUGGAUGGCUUGAAUUCGGGAGAGGGAUGCAGAAUUCCAGGUGUAGCGGUGAAAUGCGUAGAUAUCUGGAGGAAUACCGGUGGCGAAGGCGGCAUCCUGGACCGACAUUGACGCUGAUGAGCGAAAGCUAGGGGAGCAAACGGG
rnacentral:rRNA from 1 species